UACGUAGGGUGCGAGCGUUGUCCGGAAUUAUUGGGCGUAAAGGGCUCGUAGGCGGUUUGUCGCGUCGGGAGUGAAAACCUCGGGCUUAACUCGGGGCUUGCUUUCGAUACGGGCAGACUAGAGGUAUGCAGGGGAGAACGGAAUUCCUGGUGUAGCGGUGAAAUGCGUAGAUAUCUGGAGGAACACCGGUGGCGAAGGCGGCAUCCUGGACCGGCAUUGACGCUGAGGCGCGAAAGCUAGGGGAGCAAACGGG
rnacentral:rRNA from 1 species